UACAGAGGUGGCAAGCGUUGUUCGGAAUUACUGGGCGUAAAGGGCGAGUAGGUGGCCAUCUACGUCAGACGUGAAAUCCCCCGGCUUAACCUGGGAACUGCGUCUGAUACUGGACGGCUUGAGUAUGGGAGAGGAACGUAGAAUUCCAGGUGUAGCGGUGAAAUGCGUAGAUAUCUGGAGGAAUACCGGUGGCGAAGGCGGCGUUCUGGACCAUUACUGUCACUGAAUCGCGAAAGCUAGGGGAGCAAACGGG
rnacentral:rRNA from 1 species